UGGGGAAUAUUGCACAAUGGGCGCAAGCCUGAUGCAGCCAUGCCGCGUGUGUGAAGAAGGCCUUCGGGUUGUAAAGCACUUUCAGCGAGGAGGAAGGUGGUGGACUUAAUACGUUCAUCAAUUGACGUUACUCGCAGAAGAAGCACCGGCUAACUCCGUGCCAGCAGCCGCGGUAAUACGGAGGGUGCAAGCGUUAAUCGGAAUUACUGGGCGUAAAGCGCACGCAGGCGGUUUGUUAAGUCAGAUGUGAAAUCCCCGGGCUCAACCUGGGAACUGCAUUUGAAACUGGCAAGCUAGAGUCUCGUAGAGGGGGGUAGAAUUCCAGGUGUAGCGGUGAAAUGCGUAGAGAUCUGGAGGAAUACCGGUGGCGAAGGCGGCCCCCUGGANGAAGACUGACGCUCAGGUGCG
rnacentral:rRNA from 1 species